rnacentral:rRNA from 1 species
UAACCUGCCCAAGAGAUCGGGAUAACACCUGGAAACAGAUGCUAAUACCGGAUAAUAACAGAUGAUGCCUAUCAACUGUUUAAAAGAUGGUUCUGCUAUCACUCUUGGAUGGACCUGCGGUGCAUUAGCUAGUUGGUAGGGUAACGGCCUACCAAGGCGAUGAUGCAUAGCCGAGUUGAGAGACUGAUCGGCCACAUUUGGGACUGAGACACGGCCCAAACUCCUACGGGAGGCAGCAGUA